UGAGUCCACCUGUCAGGCUACCGUUGGGAAGAAGAUGGAGUUGUUCCUGGGAGUUAUUUUGGUGAUUUUGUGGCUUCCAGUGGACUGGGUAAGCAGCCAGAAGAUGGAACAGAGUCCUCAGUCCCUGAACAUCCAGGAGGGUGAGAAGGCUGUUCUGACCUGUAACUGCACACAGUUUUCUCCAGUGGUCUUCCAGUGGUACCGACAAGAUCCGGGAAGAGGCCUUGUCUUCUUGCUACUAAUCCGUGAAAAUGAGGGUAAAAAACAAAUAGGAAGACUGACGGCUACCUUUGAUAAGACCAUCAAACAGAGUUCCUUUUACAUAACAGAACCUCAGCCUGCAGACUCAGCCACCUACCUCUGUGCUGCAGACACACAGUAG